GAACAGUAUGUGCGGGGAGGAAUGGAGGUACAUAGCCUGCUGGGAAUAGCAGGCCCUACCUGGGCAGGAGGUAAAGCUGGGACAGACCAGGGAGAAUUGUGUCAGCUGUGUUGCGCAGUGUGGAUGUUUCUUCACCUGGUAGGGAACUGUUUACAGUUUAAAUAUUCUCAGAAUCAUUACGUAAAGAUUGCUCUUCAGGCUUCCCUAGUGGUUCAGUGGUUCAGAAUCCACCUGCCAAUGCAGGGGACACGGGUUCCAUCCCUGGUCUGGGAUGAUCCCCACGCCUUAAGGCAAGUAAACUCGUGCACCACAACUCCUAAGGCCGUGCUUAGAGCCUGGGAACCACAGUUAAUGAAGCACACUCGCCCUAGAGCCUGCACUGCGCAAGAGAAGCUACCACAAGGAGAAGCCUAUGAACCACAGCUAGAGAGCAGCUGCUGCUUGCCACAACUAGAGAAAGCCCUCCAAGCAGCAAUGAAGACCCAGUGCAACCAAAAAUAAAAUACUAAGAUUGCUGUCCAAGGAGGUUUCUGUUUUGUCAUGUGCAUUACUGUCAAAUGUUGGAUGUUUGUUCAUUCACGACAAGGAGACAAGCUAAAUAAACUUCAGAAGAAGGAGCAGAUAUUGUUCUGAGACAGGUGUGAUCACGUGUGCCCGGCUUGCUUUGUUUACCCCAGCAAUGCUUUCUACAACUUUUCCAGUUGAUCUGAUGGACAUCCCCAAGAUUCUCCUGAGGCUGCUGCUGCCGCUGCUAAGUUGCUUCAGUCGUGUCCGACUCUGUGCAACCCCAUAGAGGGCAGCCCACCAGGCUCCCCCGUCUCUGGGAUUCUCCAGGCAAAAACACUGGAGUGGGUUGCCAUUUCCUUCUCCAAUGCAUGAAAGUGAAAAGUGAAAGUGAAGUCGCUCAGUCGUGUCUGACUCCUAAGGACCUCAUGGACUGUAGACCACCAGGCUCCUCUGUCUAUGGGAUUUUCCAGUCCCAUACAGAUGUGACAGUUGGACCAUAAAGAAGGCUGAGUGCCGAAGAAGUGAUGUGUGUGAAUUAUGGUGCUGGAGAAGACUCUUUAGAGUCCCUUGGACAGCAAGGAGAUCAAACCAGUCAAUCCUAAAGGAAAUCAAGGCUGAAUAUUCAUUGGAAGGACUGAUGCUUAAGCCAAAGCUCCAAGACAUUGGCCACCUGAUUCGAAGAACAGACACAGUGGGGAAAAACCCUGAUGCUGGCAAAGUUUGAGGGCAGGAGGAGAAGGGGGCAACAAAGAAUGAGAUGGUUGGAUGGCAUCACCAACUCAAAGGACAUAAGUUUGGGCAUACUCCAGGAGAGAGUGAAGGACAGGGAAGGCUGGUGUGCUACAGUCCGUGGGGUUGCAAAGAAUCAGAUAUAAUUUAGCAACUGAACAACGACAACAAAUAUAUGAAAGUUAUCCACCUACCAUAGAGCUCUGUAAAUAGCAAAUAUACAAUGGAAGGUAAAGCGAUUUAAUCAUACACAAUUGAAAAAGCAUAACCUACGUGUUUUUGUAAUUGCAGCUACUAAUUAUCAACUGUCUAUUCUAAGUGAGGUAUUUAUUCUCACUAUUCUUUACGAUAAUCAAUAAUCCCACAAAAAUUAUUGAUAUCCCCAUUUUAUAGUGAAGAAAGUGAGGCUCAAAGAGUUCUUGCCAAAGUCAAAUUAGCUUGGAAGAGGCAAAGCCUGUAUUUUAAGUCCUGUCCCCUCACAUUUAAUAACUUACUUCUUCCCUCAUUUUUUAAAAAAAUCAUAAUCUGCAAACCUGUCUAUCUUACAAAAUAUGCUUCAUCAUGUGGCUUUGGAACUUGGGUGAUAAAAGGAAAGAAAAACACCCAGUGCUGAGUAUUGUUUUGGUUUAUUCAUCCCUUCCACAAUGUCAGGAACAUGUGACCCCUGUACAAGGAAAUAGCCCCCACCUACAGACACCCAGUCUCAACUUCCUCUGCCCCUUCUCCUGCCUGAAGAGCAAGAACACACAGCAGCAUCAGCAGCACAGCCUGGUAUUCCUAGACCACCAGGAAAGGAUAUGGCCUUUGCUUGAAUUCUUUGCCUAAUAAAAGUUUCAAAAAGCUGAUAUUUUAUUUAUUCAAUAAUAAUGUAUUUAAUCAUAGUUCGUAUUACUCAGUUCCCU
ensembl:lncRNA